rnacentral:lncRNA from 1 species
AGAAAGCUUUUGAGUAUUCGGUCAUUAGGAGGAGGAAAAUUGAAGGUAAGUUCUUGGUACCUUGCUUCUAUUUUGAGGUUCAUGAGUUCUUCUUGAUUCUACCUUAACUCUUGAAGUAUAUUUUGAUUUUUAGUUGUGUUGUGAGCAUUUAGUCAUGAAUUACAAUGAAGGAAAUGGUUGUUGUUUCAUGUUCUUUUGAUGAAAAAUGGAAGAUAGGUGAAGUUGAGCCAAACAAAUAAGCAUGCAUGUGCCUUAGAUGUUAAAGGGAAAAAUCAGCUAACAUGUUGUGCUUUAAAAUGAUGAAAUGGAGAUUAUACUUAAGUAAAAUCAUAGAUAUGUGAUGAUUGAUUGGUGAUAUACAUGUUUAAAUAACAAGCAUGCAAGUUAGGUGUGAAAGAGUGAUUUGGUAAUAAAUCUGCUUGGGACAGCAGCAGUAACGUGACUUUGGAAAAUCACCAUAAAUUGUGGGAGAUGAAUUAGAAGCUGAAUAAAUUAUGUAAUUAAAGCUUAUUGAGUCUAGUUUCUAAUGAAAUAAACAAGAACAUAUUUUGAAUUCUGUACAAUGAGAAAUUUGAUUCAUAAUGAAGGGUGGUCAGAUUAGUCAAACAGUGAAACAUGGGAAACUUUGAGAAAAAUCUGGUAUUGAUUGGUUAAACCAAAAAAUUCUGAAAAUUUUAUGGCUAGAAGAUAUAUGAGUCUAUUUUCAGGGAAAAUUAACGGCACUUAAUUUGGAGUUUCGUAGCUCUAGUUUUAAAUAAUUUAGUGACUAUUGCUCAGGAACACAGCUUGCAGUGAAAUUAUGAUUAUGUGGUAAACAUUGACAAAAAUUUGUUAAUGAGUUGCUUAUUGAUUUCUUAUUAGCUUACUCUGAUCUGUAGGUGUGGUUGGCCGAAUAUUGUAAGGGGUUAAUACGUAGUUCGUAUUUGAAUAGUUAGAUUAACGUGUUAGUAAUCCAAUUGUAGGCGGUUCGUGUGUGGAUCUCGUCAGCAUAUCGUCGCAAACAGGUGUGUAACUGACACCCUCUCAUAGACUAGAUUGGGAAAAGCUGAAAAACCGAAAUGCUAAAAAGUCAGUAUUUUGGGAAUUUACGAGUGUGCGAAUGCUCGUAAGAUAGUUGGGUUUGUAUAUUUGGUAAUCUA